UGUGCAGUGAUAUAUAAGGCAUCUUGAGAGUGACCUGUAAGCUCAACGCAUAGGUUCCCGCUGGGAGUACGCCACCGCAAGUGUAAAACUCAAGUAAUGACGGGACCCGCACCAAGCGGGUGGAACAUGUGUUUAAUCGAAGCAACGCGAAGAACCUUACCAGGGCUGACAUAUAUAGGAAUAACUUAGAGAUAAGUUAGCUCUUCGGAGCUUAUAUACAGGUGGUGCAUGGUUGUCGUCAGCUCGUGUCGUGAGAUGUUGGGUUAAGUCCCGCAACGAGCGCAACCCCUGUUUCUAGUUGCCAGCAUGUAAAGAUGGGAACUCUAGAGAGACUGCCGUUGAUAAAACGGAGGAAGGUGGGGACGACGUCAAAUCAUCAUGCCCUUUAUGUCCUGGGCUACACACGUAGGGCAAUGGCUAUAACAAAGGGAAGAGAAACAGCGAUGUGAAGCGAAACUCAAAAAAGUAGUCUCAGUUCGGAUUGUAGGCUGAAAUUCGCCUAUAUGAAGCCGGAAUUGCUAGUAAUGGCAGGUCAGCAUACUGCCGUGAAUACGUUCCCGGGCCUUGUACACACCGCCCGUCACACCAUGAGAGUUGGGAAUACCCGAAGCCUGUGAGCUAACGCAAGAGGCAGCAGUCGAAGGUAGAAUCAAUGAUUGGGGUG
rnacentral:rRNA from 1 species